AUUGCAGGGUCUUCUGGAGUUUAGGAGCUGAGUUUCAGCCCCGGGCACGCAGGCGUGGUUGUUCAUGCUGGACCGACCCAGAAGUCACUGAAUUUCCCCCCACCCUGAGACAGGAUGCCACUGUGUAGCCCAGUGUAGUGAACACUUGGAAUACAAAAUAAAGAUGGUGGAAUGAGACAUUCCGUCUCCAGUUCCUAACAUCAGAAGUGAGCACCUGUGUGUCACCAGCAACAUAUUGGAGGCCAGCUGCCUACACCAAUCAGAAACAGGGACCACAAAGUCUGCAGGGGUGAGAUAGGCCUUUUCAGUGUCUACGAUUUCAUCAUGGACAUUACUGUCGAUUUCUCUUCCUGCCCCUGUAUGUGCGGGUCUAUCGCCAUCUCGCCAUCUCCGGCUCCUGUGUUAUGAAGACAGUCUCAUGCAGCCCAGACCAAUCUCAAAUUGACUAGGUAAACUGAGGCUGGCCUUGAACCAGUCCCUCCUGCCUCUAUCUCCUGAGAGCUGGGUAACAGCUUCUGGAGCCUCACCCAGCUUCGCUUUCACCACCCCAGCCAAUCCUGUGACUCCUCUUCAUAGCGAGAGCAUUGACACUUAUGUUCUGAGUGUGAAAAAAAAAAAAAAAUCACAUAGUACUUCCUACUAGAACCUUGCCCGGGUCAACUGAAGUGUGUGUGUUUGCUUACCAGUCUGCAGGUUUGCUUAAGUUUGUUUAUUUUAGAGACCAGGUCUUGCUCUGUUGCCUAAGCCAACUUGAAACUCUUGGGCUCCAACAGUUCUCCUGCUCCAUCUUUCUAGAGCAGCUGGGACUCUAGGCAUGCUCCACUACAGCUGACUGAAGCUUGAAUGAAUGAAUGAAUGAAUGAAUGAGUUACUACCUCUGAGGGACCCUCCUCAUGGCCUUCUCAACUCUGUACUUUAAUUAGUUGCUUAGAGGUGUCUCCAUGCCUCAGUUUCCCCAUCUGUAAUAGUAAACGAGUUCACAGGC
rnacentral:lncRNA from 1 species